rnacentral:rRNA from 1 species
AAAGGAUGUUUUCUCCUAGCGGAGAAGAACAACCGGGAUUGCCUCAGUAACGGCGAGUGAAGCGGCAAGAGCUCAAAUUUGAAAGCUGGCCCCUUCGGGGUCCGCGUUGUAAUUUGCAGAGGAUGCUUCGGGUGCGGCCCCUGUCUAAGUGCCCUGGAACGGGCCGUCAGAGAGGGUGAGAAUCCCGUCUUGGGCAGGGUGCCCGUGCCCGUGUGAAGCUCCUUCGACGAGUCGAGUUGUUUGGGAAUGCAGCUCUAAAUGGGUGGUAAAUUUCAUCUAAAGCUAAAUACCGGCCGGAGACCGAUAGCGCACAAGUAGAGUGAUCGAAAGAUGAAAAGCACUUUGAAAAGAGAGUUAAACAGCACGUGAAAUUGUUGAAAGGGAAGCGCUUGCGACCAGACUCGGCCCCGGGGUUCAGCCAGCACUCGUGCUGGUGUACUUCCCCGGGGGCGGGCCAGCGUCGGUUUGGGAGGCCGGUCAAAGCCCCAGGAAUGAACCCCCCUCCCGGGGUGGCUUAACCCGGGG